rnacentral:rRNA from 1 species
GGGCCCGCACAAGCAGCGGAGCAUGUGGUUUAAUUCGAAGCAACGCGAAGAACCUUACCUGGACUUGACAUCUCCUGAAUUACUCUUAAUCGAGGAAGCCCUUCGGGGCAGGAAGACAGGUGGUGCAUGGUUGUCGUCAGCUCGUGUCGUGAGAUGUUAGGUUAAGUCCUGCAACGAGCGCAACCCUUAUCAUUAGUUGCUACCAUUAAGUUGAGCACUCUAGUGAGACUGCCCGGGUUAACCGGGAGGAAGGUGGGGAUGACGUCAAAUCAUCAUGCCCCUUAUGUCCAGGGCUACACACGUGCUACAAUGGUGAGUACAACAAGAUGCAACCCGUGAGGGGGAGCCAAACUUAUAAAACUCAUCUCAGUUCGGAUUGUAGGCUGAAACUCGCCUACAUGAAGCUGGAGUUGCUAGUAAUCGCGAAUCAGCAUGUCGCGGUGAAUACGUUCCCGGGCCUUGUACACACCGCCCGUCACACCAUGAGAGCUGGCAACACCCGAAGUCCGUAGUCUAACCGUAAGGAGACGCGGCCGAAGGUGGGGUUAGUGAUUGGGGUGAAGUCGUAACAAGGUAGCCGUAGGAGAACCUGCGGCU